rnacentral:rRNA from 1 species
AUUGAACGCUGGCGGCAGGCCUAACACAUGCAAGUCGAGCGGAUGACGGGAGCUUGCUCCUUGAUUCAGCGGCGGACGGGUGAGUAAUGCCUAGGAAUCUGCCUGGUAGUGGGGGACAACGUUUCGAAAGGAACGCUAAUACCGCAUACGUCCUACGGGAGAAAGCAGGGGACCUUCGGGCCUUGCGCUAUCAGAUGAGCCUAGGUCGGAUUAGCUAGUUGGUGGGGUAAUGGCUCACCAAGGCGACGAUCCGUAACUGGUCUGAGAGGAUGAUCAGUCUAGCUAGAACUUAGACACGGUCCAGGCUCGUACGGGCGGCAGCAGUGGGGAAUAUUGGAGAAUGGGCGAAAGCCUGGUCCAGACAUGCCGCGUGGGUGAAGAAGGUCUUAGGAUUGUAAAGCACUUUAAUUUGGGAGGAAGGGCAGUAAGCUAAUACCUUGCUGUUUUGACGUUACCGACAGAAUAAGCACCGGCUAACUCUGUGCCAGCAGCCGCGGUAACAC